UACAGAGGUGGCAAGCGUUGUUCGGAAUUACUGGGCGUAAAGGGCGCGUAGGCGGCCUUCUAAGUCAGACGUGAAAUCCCCCGGCUUAACCUGGGAACUGCGUCUGAUACUGGGAGGCUUGAGUAUGGGAGAGGGAUGUAGAAUUCCAGGUGUAGCGGUGAAAUGCGUAGAUAUCUGGAGGAAUACCGGUGGCGAAGGCGGCAUCCUGGACCAAUUCUGACACUGAGGAGCGAAAGCCAGGGGAGCAAACGGG
rnacentral:rRNA from 1 species